rnacentral:rRNA from 1 species
GACGAACGCUGGCGGCGUGCUUAACACAUGCAAGUCGAACGGAAAGGCCUUUUCGGAGGUACUCGAGUGUCGGACGGGUGCGUAACACUUGGGUGAUCUUCCCUUCCCUCUGGGAUAAGCCUGGGUAACUGGGUCUAAUACCGGAUAGGACCGCACUUUAGAGUGUGUUGUGGAAAGUUUUUUCGGUGUAGUUUGAGCCCGCGGGCUAUCAGCUUGUUGUUGGUUUAAUGGACUACCAAGUCGGCGCCGGGUAGCCGGACUGAGGGGUUGGUCGGCGACAUUGGGACUGAGAGAAGGCACAAACAGCGAAGGGAGGGAGAAGGGGGGAAUAUUGCACAAUGGGCGCAGGGCGGAUGAAGAGAGGCCGCGUAGGGGAUGACGGUGUUAGGGGUGAAGAAUACUUUUGCAAGGGACGAAGCGUUUUGUGACGGUACCUGGAGAAGAAGCAACGGCUAACUACGUG